UACGGAGGGUGCAAACGUUGCUCGGAAUCAUUGGGCGUAAAGCGCACGUAGGCGGUCCAGCAAGUCGGGUGUGAAAGCCCUCGGCUUAACCGAGGAAGUGCAUUCGAAACUACUGGACUUGAGUACUGAAGAGGAUCGCGGAAUUCCCGGUGUAGAGGUGAAAUUCGCAGAUAUCAGGAGGAACACCGGUGGCGAAGGCGGGUCUCUGGGCAACAACUGACGCUGAGGAGCGAAAGCGUGGGGAGCGAACAGG
rnacentral:rRNA from 1 species